GCCUGGAUAACUCAGUUGGUUAGAGCAUGGUGCUCAUCGUGCCAAGGUUGCAGGGUCAGUCCCUGUAUGAGGCA